CCCCAGACAGAAGGCUGCAAGAGCAGAAUGGAGCCUGUCAUCCUUGUACCAAGUGCAAGCCCGGUGCCCCAUUUAGAGACGUCGCCUUAUGAGUGUGUCCUGGGUCAGAAGAAUGAGGAAGGGACUGCCUGAACUUGACUUUCUGCUCUGAACAAAGGUAAGGCAUGAGAGAAACUGAAAAAAUUCUAACGUCCGAUCACAUACUGACCAAAUUCUACCA
rnacentral:lncRNA from 1 species